rnacentral:misc_RNA from 1 species
GAUGAAGAACGCAGCGAAAUGCGAUAAGUAAUGCGAAUUGCAGAAUUCAGUGAAUCAUCGAAUCUUUGAACGCACAUUGCGCCCGCCAGCACUCUGGCGGGCAUGCCUGUUCGAGCGUCAUUUCAACCAUCAAGCCCCCAGGGGCUUGUGCUGGGGCCCUGCGGCUGCCCGCAGGCCCUGAAAACCAGUGGCGGGCUCGCUAGUCACACCGAGCGCAGUAGCACAUCUCGCUCAGGGCGUGCGGCGGGCUCCUGCCGUGAAACCCCCCACUGUAACCCCAAAGGUUGACCUCGGAUCAGGUAGGAAUACCCGCUGAACUUAAGCAUAUCAAUAAGCGGAGGA